rnacentral:rRNA from 1 species
GGUUGACCUCGGAUCAGGUAGGACUACCCGCUGAACUUAAGCAUAUCA